rnacentral:rRNA from 1 species
UACAUGCAAGUCGACUGCAUUUAGUUGCAGGGCAGACGGGUGAGUAACACGUUGGUUAUCUGCCCCGAACUCAGGGAUAACAUCGAGAAAUCGGUGAUAAUACCGGAUAGUCCCGCAAGGGUAAAGAUUUUUCGGUUCGGAAGGAGCCUGCGUAGUAUCAGCUUGUUGGUGAGGUAAUGGCUCACCAAGGCUAUGACGCUUAGCUGGUCUGAGAGGAUGAUCAGUCACAAUGGAACUGAGACACGGUCCAUACUCCUACGGGAGGCAGCAGUAAAGAAUCUUCCGCAAUGGGCGUAAGCCUGACGGAGCAACACUGCGUGGUGGAUGAAGGCCUUCGGGUCGUAAACACCUUUUCUGGGGGAAGAAGUUCUGACGGUACCCCAGGAAUAAGCGACGGCUAAUUACGUGCCAGCAGCCGCGGUAAUACGUAAGUCGCAAGCGUUAUCCGGAAUUAUUGGGCGUAAAGCGUCCGUAGGCGGUUUGUUAAGUCUGUGGUUAAAGCCCGGGGCUCAACCCCGGAAUCGUCAUGGAAACUAACAAACUUGAGGUGUGCAGGGGCAGAUGGAAUUCCAGAAGUAGGGGUAAAAUCCGUAGAUCUCUGGAGGAACACCAAACGCGAAGGCAUUCUGCUGGGCACUACCUGACGCUGAGGGACGAAAGCGUGGGGAGCAAACGGGAUUAGAUACCCCGGUAGUCCACGCCGUAAACGAUGGAUACUCGGUAUUGGAGGCUUCGACCCCUUCGGUGCCUAAGCUAACGCAUUAAGUAUCCCGCCUGGGUAGUAC